GUCUCAUCCAGUCACUUUUCAGGGAUGACAAAAAUACAUCACUGCCAGUCUGGAUGGCUAGCCAAUCCCUGCAGCCCUAGCUUUGUGCUCUGUGAGACUGCCUGAACAGCAAAGCUCUCCUCUGCUCAGGGCAACCCAGGAGGUCACUUACAUCAGCAGCCUCUCCAUCCGCAUAAGGUAGUGAUGGUGAUUCUGACCCAGAGAACCUUCCGGAGACCUCAGCUUAGAGCCCAGCACACAGUUUGACGAGGUCUCUUACUUUGAAAAGGGUCAGCUUUGGAAAGGGCCAGAGGUGAUGGAAAAGUCAAGCUGAGAAAUCUUACUCCUGAGCAUCUAUCUGGAGAAAAUCAUAAUUCAAAAAGAUACAUGCAUCCUAAUGUUCAUAGCAGCA